ACCCUUUAAUGUUUGAUGUUCUAACGUGGACCCGUAAUCCGGGUUGCGGACAGUGUCUGGUGGGUAGUUUGACUGGGGCGGUCUCCUCCUAAAGAGUAACGGAGGAGCACGAAGGUUGGCUAAUCCUGGUCGGACAUCAGGAGGUUAGUGCAAUGGCAUAAGCCAGCUUGACUGCGAGCGUGACGGCGCGAGCAGGUGCGAAAGCAGGUCAUAGUGAUCCGGUGGUUCUGAAUGGAAGGGCCAUCGCUCAACGGAUAAAAGGUACUCCGGGGAUAACAGGCUGAUACCGCCCAAGAGUUCAUAUCGACGGCGGUGUUUGGCACCUCGAUGUCGGCUCAUCACAUCCUGGGGCUGAAGUAGGUCCCAAGGGUAUGGCUGUUCGCCAUUUAAAGUGGUACGCGAGCUGGGUUUAGAACGUCGUGAGACAGUUCGGUCCCUAUCUGCCGUG
rnacentral:rRNA from 2 species